ACUCAAAUGAAUUGACGGGGACCCGCACAAGCAGUGGAGCGCUUGGUUUAAUUCGAUGCUAAGCGAAAAACCUUACCAGGGCUUGAACUGUAGCUGUAGUCUGCUGGAAACAGCGGACGUCUUCGAGAUCGCUACAGAGGUGCUGCAUGGCUGUCGUCAGCUCGUGUCGUGAGAUGUAGGGUUAAGUCCCACAACGAGCGCAACCCCUAUCCAGUGUUACAAUUACUCUGGAGACUGCCUAGCCAAAACGAGGAGGAAGGUGGGGACGACGUCUAGUCAUCAUAGCCCUUACGUCCUGGGCUACACAAGCGCUACAAUGGUCAGUACAAUAGGUUGCCAAACAGCAAUGUGGAGCUAAUCCUUAAAACUGACCUCAGUUCAGAUUGUCGGCUGAAACUCGCCGGCAUGAAGGCGGAAUUGCUAGUAAUCGUGGAUCAGCAUGCCACGGUGAAUACGUUCUCGGGUCUUGUACACACCGCCCGU
rnacentral:rRNA from 1 species